rnacentral:rRNA from 1 species
CUGGGUCUAAUACCGAAUAGGACCUUAAGACGCAUGUCUUUUGGUGGAAAGCUUUUGCGGUGUGGGAUGGGCCCGCGGCCUAUCAGCUUGUUGGUGGGGUGACGGCCUACCAAGGCGACGACGGGUAGCCGGCCUGAGAGGGUGUCCGGCCACACUGGGACUGAGAUACGGCCCAGACUCCUACGGGAGGCAGCAGUGGGGAAUAUUGCACAAUGGGCGCAAGCCUGAUGCAGCGACGCCGCGUGGGGGAUGACGGCCUUCGGGUUGUAAACCUCUUUCACCAUCGACGAAGGUCCGGGUUUUCUCGGACUGACGGUAGGUGGAGAAGAAGCACCGGCCAACUACGUGCCAGCAGCCGCGGUAAUACGUAGGGUGCGAGCGUUGUCCGGAAUUACUGGGCGUAAAGAGCUCGUAGGUGGUUUGUCGCGUUGUUCGUGAAAUCUCACGGCUUAACUGUGAGCGUGCGGGCGAUACGGGCAGACUAGAGUACUGCAGGGGAGACUGGAAUUCCUGGUGUAGCGGUGGAAUGCGCAGAUAUCAGGAGGAACACCGGUGGCGAAGGCGGGUCUCUGGGCAGUAACUGACGCUGAGGAGCGAAAGCGUGGGGAGCGAACAGGAUUAGAUACCCUGGUAGUCCACGCCGUAAACGGUGGGUACUAGGUGUGGGUUUCCUUCCUUGGGAUCCGUGCCGUAGCUAACGCAUUAAGUACCCCGCCUGGGGAGUACGGCCGCAAGGCUAAAACUCAAAGGAAUUGACGG